rnacentral:rRNA from 1 species
AUGCUGAUGCAGGAAGACAUGGCGGAUGUAAGUCAUGAUUCAAUGAUGGAGUACUAUCAUAUUGCCAACAAGAUGUUUAAUAGUGAGGGUGAAGGUUAUAGAUUCUAUAACAAAUAUGGUCUUGAGAAAGGUUUUAGUGUCAGGAGAAGCUAUGUCGAGUGGGAUGGAUCCAACUGCCAUAUAAUUUUUAGGAAAUUUGUGUGUAGUCGUGAAGGGGUUCGUGAAGAGAAGCACAUGAAGAGGAAGAUGGAAGAUAGAAAGAGGAGGCCAUGGAGUAUAACUCGUGUAGGGUGUAAAGCUAAAUUGGUGAUUGCAAGACAGGAGGAAACAUGUCAGUGGUUUGUGAAGGAUUUCAUCGAUGAACACAACCAUCCUCUAGCCCCAUGCGAUCUUUCGUGUCUUUGGCGUUCACACAGAAGAAUUAGCGAUGAGGAGAAAGCGGACAUUGCAGACAUGGAAAAAUCUGGGAUCAGAAAACACCAUAUUAUGGAUAUUAUGUGCAUGCAAUACGGUGGAUAUGAUGAGGUUGGAUGCAUUAUGAGGGACGUUUACAAUUUUUGCCAUGCUAACAAGCAGGAAUCAAUUGCUUCCAGGGAUGCUCAAACAGUGAUCAAUCACAUGGCGGCGAGGCAAGAUCGAGAUUCAGAUUUUUUUUCUUUAGGUACUUGGUUGAUGAAGCUGGUCAUCUGA